ensembl:lncRNA
ACUGAGAGCCCAGAGUUGACAUGUGUGACACAGUUGUCAACCCUGGGGGCCUGGGAUCUCUGAAUCGGCAGCGGAAGCGUGUGGAUGAGCCCCCAGGGAUUUCUGAAUGGAGAUGGGAGCAGAGAGAGCUGGAGGAAGAAGAAAAGGUUGGCCCAGAGUUGAAAGCAGGGACAAAAAACCAGGGAAGCUGGCAGUCACCAACCAAGCCCUGGCUGUUUCGUCCUGUCCGAGCGCAGGUGUCGUCCGAGCUCUAUGGUCAUUCACGGGCUGGCUCUUGUUUGUAUGUUUGAUCGCCCCUGCUGAGAAUGUUCUCCUAAUGCAGGCUCCCAAUGCACGUGCUCUGGUGGGCAUUGUGCCCCAGGGAGCUGAGGGUCCACUGUGCUCCUGGAAAUGGACUCACAGACCCAGGAGCAGGGUGGCUCUACCCCCCUGGCAUGGGGACAGAGGGCUGCAUCAUGGUCACAGAUGGGACCUACCCCGGUCCUCUUUGUGGGGACUAAACUGAGCCUCAGGACCCCCUUGCCUGGCCAGAUACCCACUGUUCUCUAGCCAGUUAGCUCUGAAAAGCCUGGGAGCUUGGGCCUGGGGGUGGAGAGGAAGGAAGCCCAGUUAGUGGCCUCAUUCCGCACUCCUCUGCCCCUGGUCUUCAAGCCAGUCUCCCCUGCGCUGCCUUGCCAUGAACAUGCUGCUUUACUGUUGGUGUUACUG